rnacentral:rRNA from 1 species
AUUGAACGCUGGCGGCAGGCCUAACACAUGCAAGUCGAGCGGAUGAAGGAGGCUUUUUCCUGUCUUCAGUGGGGGACGGGCGGGUAGGUCCUAGGAAGCUGCCCGGUCUUGGAGACUAAGGUCCGGAAAGGGACCCUAAUCCACCACCGGACCUUAGGUUGAAAGGGGGGGUUCUUCGGCCCUAACCGUUCUUGCUGUCACUAGUUGGGAUUAGCUAGUUGGUGUGGUAAAGUCCUACCAAGGCGACGAUCCGUAACUGCUCUGAGAGGAUGAUCUGUCACACUGGAACUGAGACACGGUCCAGACUCCUACGGGAGGCAGCAGUGGGGAAUAUUGGACAAUGGGCGAAAGCCUGAUCCAGCCAUGCCGCGUGUGUGAAGAAGGUCUUCGGAUCGUAAAGCACUUUAAGUUGGGAGGAAGGGCAGUAAGUUAAUACCUUGCUGUCUUGACGGUACCAACAGAAUAAGCACCGGCUAACUUCGUG